UACAGAGGUCUCAAGCGUUGUUCGGAUUCAUUGGGCGUAAAGGGCGCGUAGGCUGCGGGGCAAGUCGGGUGUGAAAUCUCAGAGCUCAACUCUGAAACUGCACUCGAUACUGCUUUGCUUGAGGACUGGAGAGGAGAUUGGAAUUCACGGUGUAGCAGUGAAAUGCGCAGAUAUCGGGAGGAACACCGGUGGCGAAGGCGGCUACCUGGACAGAAACUGACGCUGAGGCGCGAAAGCUAGGGGAGCAAACAGG
rnacentral:rRNA from 1 species